UCCCGUCCAGCCCUGUUUGUGGGCUUUUGCUUUGCAUGCAGAAGGUAUCAGCUUCAAUCCCCAGCAGCUGGAGAGCCACUGCCAGUCAGUGUAGACUGUACUGGGUUACAUGGGUCCAGGGGUGUGACUCAGAAUCAAGCAGCUUCCUGUGUGCCUCUCUGGCUGGCCACAGUUGAAAAAAGAGAGGAAGGCUGGAAUGGAAUGUGAUAAUCCCAACAUUCUUUGAGUAUCACUCUUCAUCAGGGGAUGAACUGGAGAAUAUGGUAUUCUGAAGACUAUGGACUACACAAUGGAGGGCUUUCUACAACAUGAGGACCACCACUGAAAAAGUCUGCAUCCAUAUGUUCACAAGAUGGCAGUCCUUCAUUUGGAAAGACGGCCAGAAGACAAGUCUUCUGUGUGAAGGCUGUUCAGUCCAAGUCUAUUUUAAACAAGGAGGGCAGGAGCCCUGAAGUUGUCCAUCAACAGCAGGAGCAGCACCUGGUCAGCAAACUUAGCAGUUGCAUACGUCACCUGUGUCUCCCUCAAUAUGGUGAGAUGUAUUGUAUUGUUAAU